GGAUCCAUAAGCUCAAAUUGGAAAGAGCGCCCAAAUGCUAUGCAUGGGAGGAUGGUGGUUCGAGUCCACCUGGAUCCG